UGGUAGGGAUGAUUAUUGGGCUUAAAGCGUCCGUAGCCGGCUCAACAAGUCCCCUGUUAAAUCCAACGACCCAACCGCUGGACUGCAGGAGAUACUGCUGGGCUAGGGGACGGGAGAGGCCGACGGUAUUUCCGGGGGAGGGGUGAAAUCCUAUAAUCCCGGGAGGACCACCAGUGGCGAAG
rnacentral:rRNA from 1 species